GACGAACGCUGGCGGCGUGCUUAACACAUGCAAGUCGAACGGAAAGGCCCUGCUUUUGUGGGGUGCUCGAGUGGCGAACGGGUGAGUAACACGUGAGUAACCUGCCCUUGACUUUGGGAUAACUUCAGGAAACUGGGGCUAAUACCGGAUAGGAGUUCCUGCUGCAUGGUGGGGGUUGGAAAGUUUCGGCGGUUGGGGAUGGACUCGCGGCUUAUCAGCUUGUUGGUGGGGUAGUGGCUUACCAAGGCUUUGACGGGUAGCCGGCCUGAGAGGGUGACCGGCCACAUUGGGACUGGGAUACGGCCCAGACUCCUACGGGAGGCAGCAGUGGAGUAUAUUGCACAAUGGGCUGAAGCCUGAUGCAGCAACGCCGCGUGCGGGAUGACGGCCUUCGGGUUGUAAACCGCUUUCGCCUGUGACGAAGCGUGAGUGACGGUAAUGGGUAAAGAAGCACCGGCUAACUACGUG
rnacentral:rRNA from 1 species